UACGUAGGGCGCAAGUGUUGUCCGGAAUUAUUGGGCGUAAAGAGCUCGUAGGCGGUCUGUUACGUCUGCUGUGAAAACCCGGGGCUUAACCCUGGGCUUGCAGUGGAUACGGGCAGACUAGAGGCAGGUAGGGGAGAAUGGAAUUCCCGGUGUAGCGGUGAAAUGCGCAGAUAUCGGGAGGAACACCGGUGGCGAAGGCGGUUCUCUGGGCCUGACCUGACGCUGAGGAGCGAAAGCGUGGGGAGCGAACAGG
rnacentral:rRNA from 1 species